rnacentral:lncRNA from 1 species
GGAUAGCACAGUGGCAAUAUGAAUCGAGUCUUAAAAUAUGCAUCAUUUCAGAAAACACUUGCCUCUCUUAAAAAAAAAAAAACCCAAAACUAAACAACAACAACAAAAACCUCCAGGAAAAAACAAUCAGGUAUACACAAUUAACACAAGAAUAGCAAACUUCUUUGGGAAAAUGAAAUAGUUACCAAAAACAUCUCUCUUAAAGCUUCAAACAGGGUAUAUUACUUGAGGAAAAGUAUAUUCUCUGUGUACUCAGGAUGAAUUAAAAAAUCAACUGGUUUGCUCUCUUCCCACCUGAAAAGGGAAGACUGCAUUAAUAUAUGUGCUUUCCACAUCCAUAUAUGUUUUAAUAAAAGUCUACCAUCUAUGUCUUUUGUUUCAAACAUUUUGAAACAAAAUAUGUAUUGAUUCUUCAAUGAAUGAAAUCGCGCCUCAAAGUUUGGAGAAGGAAAAGCCAGUGAAAAUAAGGCCAAAAAACCAUACCACAAAAGGACAGGAAGCCUGCAGAAAUAAACAGUUCUCUUUCUGAAGCGAUGUUUUAGAAUACUGAUAUAAUUCAUGGAAACAAGAAAACAAAUACUGUUCAUCUUUAUUCAAAUUGAGUGAAUUCUGGCAACAUCAUAAUCUGGUGGCUCAGGCCAACAGAAGUGACUAGAACUUUAUGGAAAAGUACUGUUCAACAUUAAAUCUACAAACAAAGGUUUAUGGAAGAGGGAAUGUCAAAUUUAUGUAUUUUUAUUAAAUGGUGAGCUGCUCAUGUCGUCUUGCCAGUCUGAAGGCUUUAAAAGAUGGUUUUACAUCGUUGGCUAAUAAAUUACAGAUGAUUUCUAUUUUGCCAUGUCUAAAACUAGCUCUGGGCAGGUAUGAACAAGUGGUGACAUGGAAGCUGCCAGGAGGUAUCAAAAACAAGGCAUGAAUAUUCAUUUGCUAGGAAGCUAUAAUGUCUGUUCCCUAGGUGACAUACAGGACUACUCAAACCUCUUACCACACAAAGUGCACGAUCACGCAGUCCUGAAAGAUACACGUUAGGUUUAUAUUUUGUGUAACAGUUUAUGGAAAACUGAAAUGAAAAAUUAUUUUUUCUGACUAAAAAUAUAA